rnacentral:lncRNA from 1 species
UAUUCAUGUUUUUUUUUCUUUUUAGUUGUGAAAUUUCAAAUGAAAGCAUUGGGGAAAGAAUUUUGAAGAGGAGAUUUGGCAUUUUGGUGCUUAUCAAGAAAGGCAGAGGUUAAAAGGGGAAUAGGGCUAUACAAGGCGGGGCAGGAGUAGCAAGCCUGCCUUCACCAGACUUCCAGAAUGCUGUAUUUCCACACCACGGCUCUCCUCAUUGCAGAUAUGUUACAUAAGGGGUUUUCAUCCCUUCGCAGGACACAUAUUGCAAGCCCGUAGAAGGUUUCAGUGCCAUGGGUGACUGAUGCUCAUGAAAACAAUAUUUUCUUCAUUAUCCUCUGUGGUCUUCACAAAGCUUCCAGCAGAUGCACUUGCAUAGAAGGUAAGAGUAUUAAUGAUUUUCCUCCCUCUCAAGUGCAUGUUUUUUUAUGUAUUGGCUUUGUUGUUUAUCUGAAUUGCAGGAACACUACAGACAUCUCCAACUGUGAUGGCCACCUCAUGGAGCACUAUAGCACAGAAAUAGAAUGUACUCUGAAAAAAAACUGUACAAAAAUAUCAACAAUUGUCUCCUUGGAUGCAAAAUAAUGCAGAAGUGUUGGUACAUACAGACAGAGAAGGCAUAG